rnacentral:tRNA from 1 species
GCCCGGGUGGCGGAAUUGGUAGACGCAAGGGACUUAAAAUCCCUCGGAGGCAACUCCGUGCCGGUUCGAUUCCGGCCCCGGGCACCA